AAAAGAACAUUUAUUAAUAUCAGUUUCCCGCUACUCUGCCUCAACUACUCCCGAUCGUGGAGCUCCGAUCUGGCGGCGGAAUCGCCACCGCCACCGACACAUAUUAUGCGGUCCAACCUUCGAAUGGAACAGCUCGAGGUUAUGAGUCAAACUGUUUACGCGUUGCUGCCUCAGCUCCAGGAGUAGAGAGACCCAUGCCAACUGCAACAGACUUGUUUGAGUUGCCCACCUACAUCUAUGUCCAUCCCCUUUUAUAGGUAAGAUGGCUGUCACCAAAUCGGUAUCAAGUAGGCUAGGAUUUGAUUAAGAUGUUCAUGAAGAAGGAUCAAUUUCAGUGAAAUAGCAACAAGUGGGCACUCCAAAGGACUGUUGCAGACUGUAAUUAACCCCUACUCUUUCAACAUUUCCUUCCUCACCAUCUGGCUGCGGCAACUCAUUACUCAACCAGGAGAAACUUGGGUGGUUCUCAUCCUUUAGAGUUACUACCGGAUAUGAAGCACAAUCAAUUUUAAUGCAUAUAUGUGUAGGUUGGCAAUUUAAAAGAGCAUCUUAUUUGGUGUUACCAUUAGAUAGGCGAUCAUCCCCAGUCUCAACAUCUUGUGUGAUCGAUGGUUGCCUUUUCUGCCAUUUAUCCAUUUGGAAUGAGGCAAUGAGUUGAUUUUCUGCAACUAUCAUCAUCCACAAAGUCCUCUCCUUGGCUGAGAUAUCGACUGCCAACAUCAAACCGCAUUAGCAUUGGAGUCCUCUAUCAGUGCCACAUGACAGUCAGUCAUGUAAGUGAGGCCAAGCCAGUUCUAGAAUUCAUUUCCAUGUCACUCCUGUGAUUUGCAAUCAUCCUUCAAGAUAACCCGCUCCAGUACUUCCUCAGUUCCUUGCACUUUUGGAUGAAGAACAGAGAACUCCAAGAAUGUUGAGAUUCAUUCUCAUCCUCUCUGAUUUUCAUGGACUUGAUUGUAUGAUACUCUCUUUUCCCACUCUUCCUGACUAAGAU